rnacentral:rRNA from 1 species
UCGCCUGUUUAUCAAAAACAUAGUAAAAUAAAAUUUUAUAUAUCUGCCCAAUGAUAAUAUUAUAUGGCCCCCAAUGUAGCGUAAUAACUAGUUUAUUGAUUGUAAACUUGAAUGAAGACAACAUUUUUAUAAUAUGUUUCAACUUUUUCUUUGAAUUUUGAUUGUUAGUGAAAAUACUGAUAUGCCCUCAAUAGACGAUAAGACCCUAAGACCUUAACUAAGUUUUACUGGGAUAGUUUUUUAAAAAUAAUAAAAGUUUUUUAGUUAUAAAACCAAAUUAUUGCUAAAGAAAGGUACCUUAGGGAUAACAGCACAAAGAAAAUCUUAAGCCCAAAUUUUAAUUUUUCUAGUGACCUCGAUGUUGAAUUAAGUAAUUCAAAAGCUGCAAAAGGUUUUGUUUCGGGUCUGUUCGACCCAUAGUACUUACAUGAUCUGAGUUCAAACCAGA